rnacentral:rRNA from 1 species
GACGAACGCUGGCGGCGUGCUUAACACAUGCAAGUCGAACGGAAAGGCCCUGCUUUUGUGGGGUGCUCGAGUGGCGAACGGGUGAGUAACACGUGAGUAACCUGCCCUUGACUUUGGGAUAACUUCAGGAAACUGGGGCUAAUACCGGAUAGGAUCUCCUGCUGCAUGGUGGGGGUUGGAAAGUUUCGGCGGUUGGGGAUGGACUCGCGGCUUAUCAGCUUGUUGGUGGGGUAGUGGCUUACCAAGGCUUUGACGGGUAGCCGGCCUGAGAGGGUGACCGGCCACAUGGGGACUGAGAUACGGCCCAGACUCCUACGGGAGGCAGCAGUGGGGAAUAUUGCACAAUGGGCGGAAGCCUGAUGCAGCAACGCCGCGUGCGGGAUGACGGCCUUCGGGUUGUAAACCGCUUUCGCCUGUGACGAAGCGUGAGUGACGGUAAUGGGUAAAGAAGCACCGGCUAACUACGUG